CAGACGCUCAUUUAGACCCAAACUUUGUUUUGAAAAAGGCCCAAUAUGAAGUGAGGCACCAAACUCGGAGCAACGAUACUGAAGAUCUGGCGACUGGGUUAACUCAUAACCCUUCUUGCAAGCGACCUACUGAGGAGUCGCCACCAUCUUCGGGCGGCUCAUCCGUAUCACAGCUGCCUACUUUUGUCAUCAACCCUGGGGCCAAAGCCAAGAGUAAGAAAAGAAAGUUUGAUGAUUCUUCAAAAGCCCCUGAAAUUCCUGAGUCGGAGGAGUAGGUGCUGGUACCUCUGAGGCCCACACCAGAAAUCCCGAAGGACCUCAUAACCAGCAGGAGGACCCGCCACCAGAAAAUGAAGCAACAACCGCUGAAAAUAUGAAUACUGAUGUUAACCCGACAUACAAUCAUGACCCGCCAAGUCCUAUUCCUUCUGCGUCAGAAGAAAUCCCUUUUGAAGAAAACACUGAUGACAUUGCCAUCCUUGGGGCGAGUCGAAGAAUGCCAGUCGCUAGAGCCAUCCACCAUGCUAGCUAAACACAUGUAUAAAGAAGAAGCGUCCUUGCUGGAGAAAGGCAAGUCUAAACUUGUGCUGCCCAAUUAUGAGGAAUUUAGUGCCGAAGAGCUUCAUGCUGGCUACUGAAGUCACCUAGCUACAAGCCGGGAUAUGGAGGCCAGCUUGGUUAGCAUGAUGAAGCGGA